CCUACGGGUGGCAGCAGUGAGGAAUAUUGGUCAAUGGGCGCGAGUCUGAACCAGCCAAGUAGCGUGCAGGAUGACUGCCCUACGGGUUGUAAACUUCUUUUAUAAAGGAAUAAAGUGAGGCACGUGUGCCUUUUUGUAUGUACUUUAUGAAUAAGGAUCGGCUAACUCCGUGCCAGCAGCCGCGGUAAUACGGAGGAUCCGAGCGUUAUCCGGAUUUAUUGGGUUUAAAGGGAGCGUAGAUGGGUUGUUAAGUCUGUUGUGAAAGUGUGCGGCUCAACCGUAAAAUUGCAAUGGAUACUGGCAGUCUUGAGUACAGUUGAGGUAGGCGGAAUUCGUGGUGUAGCGGUGAAAUGCUUAGAUAGCACGAAGAACUCAGAUUGCGAAGGCAGCUUACUAAACUGCCACUGACAUUGAUGCUCGAAGGUGUGGGUAUCAAACAGGAUUAGAUACCCCAGUAGUC
rnacentral:rRNA from 1 species